GGACUCAUGGUGACGAUGCUG
rnacentral:siRNA from 1 species